GAGUUUGAUCCUGGCUCAGAGCGAACGCUGGCGGCGUGCCUAACACAUGCAAGUCGAACGUGAAAGGGAGCAAUCCUGAGUAAAGUGGCGUACGGGUGAGUAACGCGUAGGUAAUCUACCCCAAAAUCUGGAAUAACCUGCCGAAAGGCGGGCUAAUACUGGAUAGAGCGACGGAAUCCGUAAUUGGGUUUUUCGGGAAAGGGAGCUCGCAAGAGCCUUCGUUUUGGGAUGAGCCUGCGUCUCAUUAGCUAGUUGGUGAGGUAAAAGCUCACCAAGGCUUUGAUGGGUAGCUGGUCUGAGAGGAUGAUCAGCCACACUGGAACUGAAACACGGUCCAGACUCCUACGGGAGGCAGCAGUGGGGAAUCUUGCGCAAUGGACGAAAGUCUGACGCAGCCACGCCGCGUGAGUGAAGAAGGCCUCGGUUGUAAG
rnacentral:rRNA from 1 species